CCUCGUCAGGGCGAGGUUAAAUAGCCGCAUAGGCCCUGAGCGUCCCCGCCCCACAAGGGCGGGGGGACGGG
rnacentral:ribozyme from 2 species